rnacentral:rRNA from 1 species
GACGAACGCUGGCGGCGUGCUUAACACAUGCAAGUCGAACGGAAAGGCCCUGCUUUUGUGGGGUGCUCGAGUGGCGAACGGGUGAGUAACACGUGAGUAACCUGCCCUUGACUUUGGGAUAACUUCAGGAAACUGGGGCUAAUACCGGAUAGGAGCUCCUGCUGCAUGGUGGGGGUUGGAAAGUUUCGGCGGUUGGGGAUGGACUCGCGGCUUAUCAGCUUGUUGGUGGGGUAGUGGCUUACCAAGGCUUUGAAGGGUAGCCGGCCGGAGAGGGUGACCGGCCACAUUGGGACUGAAAUACGACCCAGACUCCUGCGGGAGGCAGUAGUGGGGAAUAUUGCACAAUGGGCGGAAGCCUGAUGCAGCAACGCCGCGUGCGGGAUGACGGCCUUCGGGUUGUAAACCGCUUUCGCCUGUGACGAAGCGUGAGUGACGGUAAUGGGUAAAGAAGCACCGGCUAACUACGUG